rnacentral:rRNA from 1 species
GACGAACGCUGGCGGCGUGCCUACUACAUGCAAGUCGAACGCAGUGGGGACGGGUGAGUAACACGUGGGUAACCUCCCAUCAGAGGGGAUAAAACUUGGAAACAGGUGCUAAAUCGAUAUGGAUGGAUGGACCCGCGGUGCAUUAGCUAGUUGGUGAGGUAACGGCUCACCAAGGCAACGAUGCAUAACCGACCUGAGAGGGUGAUCGGCAACACUGGGACUGAGACACGGCCCAGACUCCUACGGGAGGCAGCAGUAGGGAAUCGUCGGCAAUGGACGAAAGUCUGACCGAGCAACGCCGCGUGAGUGAAGAAGGUGGUCGGAUCGUAAAACUCUGUUGUUAGAGAAGCGGUAUCUAACCAGAAAGCCACGGCUAACUACGUGCCAGCAGCCGCGGUAAUUC